AUGGUAAAUUUGAUUCGUCUUCUAGAGCAGCAAGAUUCUGAACGAGGCCGAACACAACAGCGAGGCCAGCUUCAGUUCUCUGAAUCUCCAGUUCCGUGUCGUGAUUUGGAUGGAAUUGGAGACCGUGUCUUUCUCCAACAUAAAUCAAUUUCCAAUGUAGUCGAGUUCGAGUCUCUGUUCUUCUCCAACGCAAAAGCAUGUAGUGCCCGACCCGGAUUGGACUUGGCUGUAAUAAUAAGGAGGGAUCCUCGACCGGAACGUCCAUCAGGCCGCGUCCCUCGACCAGAAUCUCCAUCAAAACUCAUCACAUUGCAACUUUCAGAGAAACAUCCAAUGUCUCUGGCUGAGGAAAAUCAUUCGUCCAGCCGUGCUAUGCCGAGUUCGCUGGCGGAAGAAGAACACCCGUCGAGCCCUCCAUCGCCUGAGGCGGCUACACCAGAGGAGGAAGAGCUCUGCAGAGAUCUCCGAGGAAGCCGGCGCUAUUAUCCAUCGAGAAACGAAACCGGCGGCGUCGAUGGCGCUAGAGCCCUAGAUGGGUCUGAUGCAUCUGUUUCUUUUAAGACAAUACUGCGUCUGGUGCUGUGGAAGUGA
rnacentral:rRNA from 1 species